rnacentral:rRNA from 1 species
UACGUAGGGUGCGAGCGUUUAAUCGGAAUUACUGGGCGUAAAGCGUGCGCAGGCGGUUUUGUAAGCCAGAUGUGAAAUCCCCGGGCUUAACCUGGGAAUGGCAUUUGGGACUGCAAGGCUUGAGUGCGGCAGAGGAGACUGGAAUUCCUGGUGUAGCAGUGAAAUGCGUAGAUAUCAGGAGGAAUACCGAUGGCGAAGGCAGGUCUCUGGGCUGACACUGACGCUCAUGCACGAAAGCGUGGGGAGC